rnacentral:rRNA from 1 species
UACGAAGGGGGCUAGCGUUGCUCGGAAUCACUGGGCGUAAAGCGCACGUAGGCGGAUCUUUAAGUCAGGGGUGAAAUCCUGGAGCUCAACUCCAGAACUGCCUUUGAUACUGAAGAUCUUGAGUCCGGGAGAGGUGAGUGGAACUGCGAGUGUAGAGGUGAAAUUCGUAGAUAUUCGCAAGAACACCAGUGGCGAAGGCGGCUCACUGGCCCGAUACUGACGCUGAGGCACGAAAGCGUGGGGAGCAAACAGG